ensembl:lncRNA
GGUGAUAUGGGAUAAUGUCAGUUUCCAUCGGGCUGCUCUGGUCCAGGCCUGGUUCUCAAACCACAAUCAAUUUGAAGUGGUAUACUUGCCCCCUUACUCACCAUUUUUAAACCCUAUUGAGGAAUUUUUUUCGGCUUGGAGAUGGCGAGUAUAUGACCGCCAACCACAUGCCCGCAUGCCUCUUCUGCAGGCAAUGGAACAGGCCUGCGGCGACAUUGAGGUGACAGCGAUCCAUGGAUGGUUUCGGCAUGCAAGAGGGUAUUUUCCCCGGUGCCUAGCGGGAGAGGACAUAGCUUGCGAUGUUGAUGAGGUCCUGUGGCCAGACCCCAACAGACGGCGGGAUCCAUGAGCCCACUUAUGCACACUUGUCAUGGUUUUUUGUGUUUACAGUAUAGUGUUUUUUCUAUUGCAGUAUUAUUGUGUUGUGGUUUUUUUUUUUUUGCUUCAUCUGAAUUCAUGGUACUGCGAUGUACACUAUUGAGUAGGUCUAUUUGCGUUUUUGGUUGUUUGGAAAUGUGUCUCCUGUAAAUGUGCCUUCUGAAUACACAAUGGAAAUCAAGGACUGCAGUGUUUUAUAUAAAGAAGACUAGUGUGUUCCCCCUGAUCUGUCAGUGUUUGCAUAUGAUGCAAGUAUGUGUCAUUUUG